rfam:Sinorhizobium saheli strain LMG 7837 C747, whole genome shotgun sequence.
UGUCAAGCGUUUUUGACGUCGUUUCGGCGAACGGAUUUCUUUUGCCUUGGAAAAGGUGAAGAAAAAUG